rnacentral:rRNA from 1 species
GACGAACGCUGGCGGCGUGCCUAAUACAUGCAAGUAGAACGCUGAAGAGAGGAGCUUGCUCUUCUUGGAUGAGUUGCGAACGGGUGAGUAACGCGUAGGUAACCUGCCUGGUAGCGGGGGAUAACUAUUGGAAACGAUAGCUAAUACCGCAUAAAAUGGAUUAUCGCAUGAUAAUCCAUUGAAAGGUGCAAAUGCAUCACUACCAGAUGGACCUGCGUUGUAUUAGCUAGUUGGUGGGGUAACGGCUCACCAAGGCGACGAUACAUAGCCGACCUGAGAGGGUGAUCGGCCACACUGGGACUGAGGCACGGCCCAGACUCCUACGGGAGGCAGCAGUAGGGAAUCUUCGGCAAUGGACGGAAGUCUGACCGAGCAACGCCGCGUGAGUGAAGAAGGUUUUCGGAUCGUAAAGCUCUGUUGUAAGAGAAGAACGAGUGUGAGAGUGGAAAGUUCACACUGUGACGGUAUCUUACCAGAAAGGGACGGCUAACUACGUG